UGCGCAGGCGGACUAAUAAGUCAGUGGUGAAAUCCCGGGGCUCAACCCCGGAACUGCCAUUGAUACUGUUAGUCUUGAAUACGGUUGAAGUAGGCGGAAUGUAGCAUGUAGCGGUGAAAUGCAUAGAGAUGCUACAGAACACCGAUCGCGAAGGCAGCUUACUAAGCCGAUAUUGACGCUCAGGCACGAAAGCGUGGGGAGCGAACAGGAUUAGAUACCCUGGUAGUCC
rnacentral:rRNA from 1 species